rnacentral:SRP_RNA from 1 species
GCUGGGCGGGUGGAGCACACCUGUAGUCCCAGCUACUCAGGAGGCUGAGGCAGGAGGAUCGCUUGAGCCCAGGAGUUCUGGGCUGUAGUGUGCUAUGCCAAUCGGGUGUCCGCAGUAAGUUUGACAUCAAUAUGGUGACCUUCCAGGAGCAGGGGACCACCAGGUUGCCUAAGGAGGGGUGAGCUGUCCCAGGUCAGACAUGGAGCAGGUCAAAACUCCCGUGCUGAUCAGUAGGGGGACCACACCCGUGAAAAGCCCCUGCACUCCAGCCUGGGCAGCACAGUGGGACCCCAGCUUUU